rnacentral:rRNA from 1 species
CAGCCGCCACGGGAAAACGGGGGGGGCUAGCGUUGUUCGGAAUUACUGGGCGUAAAGCGCACGUAGGCGGCUUUGUAAGUUAGAGGUGAAAGCCCGGGGCUCAACCCCGGAAUUGCCUUUAAGACUGCAGAGCUAGCAGGUGAGAGAGGUGAGUGGAAUUCCGAGUGUAGAGGUGAAAUUCGUAGAUAUUCGGAAGAACACCAGUGGCGAAGGCGGCUCACUGGACCGGCAUUGACGCUGAGGUGCGAAAGCGUGGGGAGCAAACAGGAUUAGAUACCCCCGUAGUCCCUGUCUCUUAUAC